AUUGAACGCUGGCGGCAGGCCUAACACAUGCAAGUCGAGCGAGCGGCGGACGGGGGAGUAAUGUCUGGGAAACUGCCUGAUAGAGGGGGAUAACUACUGGAAACGGUAGCUAAAACCGCGUACCAUCAGAUGUGCGCAGAUGGGAGUAGCUAGUAGGUGGGGUAACGGCUCACCUAGGCGACGAUCCCUAGCGGGUCUGAGAGGAUGACCAGCCACACUGGAACUGAGACACGGUCCAGACUCCUACGGGAGGCAGCAGUGGGGAAUAUUGCACAAUGGGCGAAAGCCUGAUCGAGCCAUGCCGCGUGAGUGAAGAAGGUCUUCGGGUUGUAAAGCACUGUCAGCGGGGAGGCGUUACCCGCCGAAGAAGCACCGGCUAACUCCGUGCCAGCAGCCGCGGUAAUUC
rnacentral:rRNA from 1 species